CGACCCAGGGCGCACUGGCGACUCCUGCAGGCCCGGGCGCUGCAAGCCCAAGCUUUAGAAGACAGCCCCAUUUAUGUCUCAUUAUGUUGAGCCAACAUUUGACAGUAGAAGAGGCUGUAACUGCUUUUCUUCAGUGGUGAAGGUCAUGGGAGAGGCUGGAUAUAAAAGGAGAGAGCACAUAGGUUUCCUUCAUCUUUGGAGUUCACUGACACCUUGCUUGGCACUGUAGACAGAUGCCAGAGAGGAGUGCUUUAGCAUGGAUGUAUCAAAUUUGACCCUUACAAGCCAUCACUGCUGGACAUUUGUCUGCCUCCCUAAGAUCAGGAUGUAGCUCUCAGCUACUGCUCCAGCACCUGUCUGAAUACCAUCAUGAUUUCCACCACGGUGAUAAAUGGACCAAAUCUCUGAAACAGUAAUGCAAGUCCCCAAUUAAAUCCUUUCUUUUAUAAGA